rnacentral:rRNA from 1 species
CCUACGGGUGGCAGCAGUGGGGAAUAGUGGGCAAGGGGCGCAAGCCUGACCCAGCAACGCCGCGGGAAGGAAGAAGGCCCGCGGGUUGGAAACGUCUUGUAUUCGGGACGAAACAAAUGACGGUACCGAAUGAAUAAGCCACGGCUAACUACGUGCCAGCAGCCGCGGUAAUACGUAGGGGGCAAGCGUUAUCCGGAUUUACUGGGUGUAAAGGGCGUGUAGGCGGGAGAGCAAGUCAGACGUGAAAUUCCAGGGCUCAACCCUGGAACUGCGUUUGAAACUGUUCUUCUUGAGUGAGGGAGAGGCAGGCGGAAUUCCGUGUGUAGCGGUGAAAUGCGUAGAUAUACGGCGGAACACCAGUGGCGAAGGCGGCCUGCUGGACAUUAACUGACGCUGAGGCGCGAAAGCGUGGGGAGCAAACAGGAUUAGCUACCCGUGUAGUC